AUGAAGCGUAAUUGGACAGGACCUACUAGGUGUAGUUUCUGCGAUCGGGAUGAGACUAUUAAACACCUCUUUUUUGAUUGCCCGCUGGCCAAGGUACUCUGGCAGACGGUCCACAUUGCUUUCAAUAUCAAACCACCGAAUUCUGUUAAUGCUUUAUUUGGGACAUGGCUUAAUGGGAUUGAGCCUAACUUAGCGAGACAUAUUCGGGUUGGGGUUUGUGCUUUGCUGUGGACUAUCUGGAAUUGCAGAAACGAUCUAGUCUUUAACAGAAUAUCAUGUAUACAUUUUUUGCAGGUUUUAUUCCGGACUACGGCUCUGAUCCGUUCGUGGUCGCUACUCACCUAG
rnacentral:rRNA from 1 species